rnacentral:misc_RNA from 1 species
UAACCAAUCCAGCUCGCUGGGUCUUGGGCACCGCCGCCUGGCGGGCCUCAAAAUCAGUGGCGGUACGGCCGGGCUCUAAGCGUAGUAAACUUUCUCGCUAUAGGGUCCCGGGCGGCACUAGCCAGCAACCCCCAAUCUUUCACA